ACCCAGGCUUGCUCAGAGAGGAGUCACCAGAGCAAAGUUACCCUCAUUCUCCUGGCUUUUCUCCAUUCUACUUUCCUAAGGGGAGAAAGUCACACGGACUUGGCCCACAGUCUUCCCAGAAUCCAGCUCCCCAUAGAUUGUCAGUGCUUGUGGUGUCAAUAACUGGGCCUCCUUGGUCACAGUUUAUGGAUCCUGGCCAACCACUCUAACCUUGGUCAAAGAUCAUGGGAAAACCAGGACAGGUGGGAUAGGCAAGUGUCCUACAGCUGAGGUCUAACACAGGUUCGCCCUUGAGCCCUGGCUCUGGCUAACUUGAUCUCAUCUCUGUCACCAGUUGUCAGCAGGAACCAUAGGCCUUGUACACACAGCUCGGGAGAGUCAAAGGAUCCCAGGUCUCCUCCCUGGAGCUGGCUUCCAUGAGUGUGCCUGCCCUCAGGUGAGGCACCAAAGGGCAGGUCCUCCCACAGAGCCCUCUGGGAGGGAGAAGGAUGGAGAUCGGCCUCACUUGCUCCCACACUGCUGCUCCCUACUGGGCCUGGCACUGCCAUCUGUAUUGGAGAGGCAGCCUGAGAACAUGGACCGGCCAGAGCCACACAUGGCAUCGGGAGUGUCCCACUAUACUGCUGUUUCUUAGAGGUGGAGCCCAAGGGCAUCUGAGCACUCUGUGGCCCACCUGUGUAUCACCACCCCUACCGCUUCCCAGGACCCUCCUCCCCAGUUGCUCCUCUCCAGCUGUUUUCCUGCUCAGUGGUCUCCAUUUUGGGUCCCAUCAACCUUGGUAAAUAACCUGUUCAAUCUCUUCCCAACCUCCUGCUUAUUAACCUGUGACCUCAGACCAGCAUCCCUCAGUAGGUGCUCAGGGCACAAGCUCUGUCUUCAUGGCACCCAGUUCAGAGAGGGACUCGGGUGUACCAGGCUCCAGUGGAGAAGGCCUGGCCAAGGUUGACAUGCUGCAGUCUGUGCCCUGGAGAGGAGUUAGGCUGAGGCCUAUGUGCAGAGGCUGAGGUACACCACCACCAAGGGGAGGAAGGGCCUGGUGAAAGGCACAACUUCUGCCUCCAACAGAACUUCUUCCAACGUGGCCAUGUCCCCAAGCCCUGGACAUUUGUGACUGCCAUCUGCUUACAUUCCACUGCCUCCUUUCCUGCAUUUAACUACUUAAGUCUGAACAACUUCUGGGUUUGGUAAGAUCCACUAUUUGAGAAAAGAGUAUCCCAGAAAUGGCACUGAACUUACUCUGUAGAACAGGCUGCCCCCUCUCCCCCAUUCCAGAUCUGCCUACCUCUGCCUCCCGGGUGCCGGGACUGAAUGUGUGCACCUCCACAUCUCACUAUUUCAAUUGUUUUUGUUUGUUUUUUUAAGGGACACUAGCUGGGAGAGGUGGGGCCUUUAAUCCCAGCGUUGGGGAAACAGAGCUAGAGGGAUCCCCAUGAGUCCAAGGCUACCCUGGUUUAUAUAGAUAGCACUUGCCAAGUCUACACAGUGAGACCUUGUCUCAAAAAGAGAGGGGGUACCACUAACACCCACCUGGAGGUUCUGAAGUAAAUGAAGCUUAUGUGGAAGGUCAGUUUGUGGGGUGCUGAAGGAUUUUAGAUUUCCCCCAAGUUUCCUUCACAGUUCCGUUCCCUAACAUCCCAGGCUUGGUCCUGCUUCUCCCUUGUGAGCUGCUAAUUGGCUGCCAAUAAGGUACUAGCUGUCGGUUUCCUAACGUAUCUGGAUCAAGCUUGGAGCGUGAGUUGUGUGGUGUGGAGCUGAAUUGUUAACACCUUCUUUGUGGUCCCUCUCUCCGUGGAUUAAGUGAGAAUAUUCAUGGGCAGGGUGAGGCAGACUGGUAAAAAGAGUCUCUUCUAUAAAAUGGGGAUGCAGGAGAGAGACUGCUAACUUUUAUAAUCAUUGGUCAUUGCCUACUUUCCAGAUCUGCGUUACAUGUGGGAUCUCAUGAAAUUCACACAAUAAUCUAAAGAAGUGAGUACAAUCUGCCCUCCACAGUCCUGAGCCCUGCAUACAUAUAUGGAUUUAUCCAGCUGUAGAUGGGAAAUACUUGAUAAAGAUGUCCCUCCACACUGAGUAUGUAGGCUUUCCUUGUACCCUGAACAAUACUGCAUGCCCACCCCACCACCACCAUACUGCACCACCUGAAACAUGAAAGAAUGUAUAUAGUUAACAUGGAAACACUCCAGUACUGUCUUUUGCAGGGGUUGGGGUUAGAGUGUGAGAUACAAUCGCACUCCAGCCAAGCUGGCCUCGACUCAGUCACCCCAUGCAGCUUCCUAGUCCUCCAGACGGCAGGUCCCACUGAGUAGGACGUGCCAGGACACACGGCCCCUCGCCUGUCACAACAGUUUCCCUUAGCUCUUGUCACUCUCCUACAAGCCGUGAUGUUUGCUCUCUGACUGCCCUUGGGUCAGAAGAAGGAAGUCACCCCAAAGCCACAGAGGAGAGCCCCAGAAACUCAGCUUCCAGGAGAGCCUUUAUGAGUCAUGAUUCCUUCAGGACUUAGGAGGACCUGGGGCCUUCCCUCAAACCCCUCCCUCCAAGAUGUCUGCCAGUGCAUUCUGACUUCCAUGUAGUCGAUCAAAACGGGGCUGCCUAGAAGAGGAGGUAGGUUUCCUCUGAGCCAUACUCCACCCCACCUCACCUGUCUUUUGGGGUUAACUGUUUUGAGCGGCAAGUGCACAAGUCUCCACAUGUCUCUUGAAUUCAGGUGUUAGGCAGAGUGAAGGGAGAGGCAGGGCCAAGACUUCAGGUCUCCAGAGGAGGUAUGUUCAUUCACCAGGAAGCUGGAGGUAGGUUUGUUUUAGACUGCAGCCUUCAUCCUCUGGAAAGACACACAUGGCAUGCGUUCCUCUGUCACUUGAUAAGCUGUGGUCCUUAUGCACCGCCUACCCAUUUUUCAUGAAGAGGUUGUUAUGCUUGUAAAACUCUGUUCAACCUAAUCUAGAGCUAUACAGUGAGGUCUGAAGGCCUGACUAUAAGGUUAUAGACUGCUGGACCAAUCAGAACUUACACAUCCUAAUCUCCGCCCUCUGUGCAAGAGUGCAUUGUCACCUCCAGAGCCCAAAUCCCGAGGCUGACAAGCUCCAGUUUCCUUAUCUGUAAGAUACGGAUGAUGGGACUUCCAACUGAAGUUGUCACAUGAGAAGAGGCAAGUCCCUGGCCCACUACUAGACAGACACCUGUUAAGCACCCCGUGGAUGCAUUUAUAUUAAGAUGAUAUGCUGUCACUGCUACUGAAGCCUGGAACUCAUCUCUCUAAACCAUUCGCACUGUUGCUUCAGAAACUGCACACAGAUCUCGCAUGCGUUUCAUGCAUAUGGUGUCUGUACAGGUUGAGUGUGGGCAUGCACACGUGCGGGGCCCAGAGCAGGAUAUGGAAUUUCCCCCCCCUCACUCUCUGCCUACUAUCCUGAGACAGGGUAUCCUGAACUGGAAACUUGUUACUUCAGAUAGGCGGGAUGGCCAGUUAGCUAUGGAGAUAGACCUGUCUCCCUGUCCUCUGGGGAAGGUUAUGUAAUCUUUAAUCAACUGUUACUCAGCUCAGUCAUCAUAUUAAUUGG
rnacentral:lncRNA from 1 species